rnacentral:rRNA from 1 species
UACGUAGGGGGCAAGCGUUGUCCGGAUUUAUUGGGCGUAAAGAGCGUGUAGGCGGCUGGGUAGGUCCGUUGUGAAAACUCGAGGCUCAACCUCGAGACGCCGAUGGAAACCCCCCGGCUAGAGUCCGGAAGAGGAGAGUGGAAUUCCUGGAGUAGCGGUGAAAUGCGCAGAUAUCAGGAAGAACACCCGUGGCUAAGGCGGCUCUCUAGUACGGUACUGACGCUGAGACGCGAAAGCGUGGGGAGCGAACAGG